GGUCUGGUCGAUGGAUGUUUUCAAACCCUCUUGGCAGUGAGGUGUGAGUGUGUCAAGGACCCUCCCUUAGUUCCUCAGCCCUUACUCUCUCUCCUCCUUCCACAGAUGCGGCCCUGAGAGGGCAGGACAGGGGCAGGGAAGGGGUGUGGCAGCCCUGGCCCUUAACACCUCCUCAUUCCUGGCUGAGCCUCUGGACACCUCAGGGAACAUCAUCCCAGUCUACUGCGCCUUGCUGGCCACUGUGGUCCUUGGUCUGCUUGCCUACGUGGCCUUCAAGUGCUGGCGCUCACGUAAGCAAAGACAGCAGCUGGCCAAAGCUUGCACUGCAGACCUGGGGGGCCUGGACAGGAACCAGGCCCGCGGACACAGUGUCUUCCUAGACUCUCACAGCGAAAGCAGCCAGGGGCCACACUCAGAGCUUGGCUGCCGACUUUACCUUCAU